UAGGGAAUCUCCCACAAUGGACGAAAGUCUGAUGGAGCAACGCCGCGUGAGUGAAGAAGGGUUUCGGCUCGUAAAACUCUGUUGUUAAAGAAGAACAUAUCUGAGAGUAACUGUUCAGGUAUUGACGGUAUUUAACCAGAAAGCCACGGCUAACUACGUGCCAG
rnacentral:rRNA from 1 species